AGAGUGGACUGGAUGGCCGCUGGCCGAGGCCGGAUGCGUCGCCAUAUCGACGCCCCUGCGGCCUCGGCGAGAGGAAAGUCCGGGCUCCGCAGGACACGGUGGUGGGUAACGCCCACCGGCCGCAAGGCCAGGGAAAGUGCAACAGAGAGCAGACCGCCUCACAGGGUUCCCCCUGUGCGGUAAGGGUGAAACGGUGAGGUAAGAGCUCACCAGCAGGCCGGGUGACCGGCCUGGCUAGGCAAACCCCACCGGGAGCAAGGUCAAG
rnacentral:RNase_P_RNA from 1 species